rnacentral:rRNA from 1 species
GGAGGAUCAUUAUCGUAGGGCUUCGGCCCUGUCGAGAUAGAACCCUUGCCUUUUUGAGUACCUUUCGUUUCCUCGGCAGGCUCGCCUGCCAAUGGGGACCACAAAAAACACUUUGCAGUACCUGUAACAGUCUGAACAAACAAAACAAAAAUUAAAACUUUCAACAACGGAUCUCUUGGUUCUGGCAUCGAUGAAGAACGCAGCGAAAUGCGAUAAGUAGUGUGAAUUGCAGAAUCCAGUGAAUCAUCGAAUCUUUGAACGCACAUUGCGCCCUUUGGUAUUCCUUAGGGCAUGCCUGUUCGAGCGUCAUUUAAACCUUCAAGCUAAGCUUGGUGUUGGGUGACUGUCCGCUUCACUGCGGACUCGCCUCAAAAUUAUUGGCGGCCGGUACAUUGGCUUCGAGCGCAGCAGAAACGCGAACUCGGGCCCGUCGUAUUGGCUCCCAGAAGCUAUCUUCACAAUUUUGACCUCGGAUCAGGUAGGGAUACCCGCUGAACUUAAGCAUAUCAAUAAGCGGAGGA